UGCGUAGGCGGUUUGAUAAGUCAGUUGUGAAAUUCCCCGGCUUAACCGGCGGGACUGCGAUUGAUACUGUCAAACUUGAAUCAGGUUGAGGUAGGCGGAAUGUGGCAUGUAGCGGUGAAAUGCAUAGAUAUGCCAUAGAACACCGAUUGCGAAGGCAGCUUGCUGGACCUUGAUUGACGCUGAGGCACGAAAGCGUGGGGAGCGAACAGGAUUAGAUACCCUGGUAGUCC
rnacentral:rRNA from 1 species